AAACCAAUAAAUGCCAUAAUAAGGAUGGUUGGGUAUAUCGAAGUUUUAGGAGAGAAGAGGUGCGUUGACCUAUGAUGAAUUAAAAUAGUGAAAAAGUACUUAGCAGCUCUAAAUAUUUUUGUACAUUUAGCCCUAAUCUAUCUAUUAUGGAGGAAGAUGAUUUAUAUCGUCUACUCUGACUAGAUUAAGAUUAAGGAUAAGUUCAGUUGAGUUGGAAAAAAGAAUAUUAUUGAUGAAAGGGCAAGUUGAAAGCAAGGAGUAUUUGAGCGACAAAGAUGAAUUCCUCUUUAGGAUUGGCUUAGAGUAAGAACUUGCUUCUGUAGUAGAUAACGGCAAGAUCCAAUGAUGCUCGAGUUGAUCCUCGCUAGUAUUUUUGUUAAUAGGCUUGUAUUGUCACAAUUAGUAUUGGCAUCGACUUACACCCGCUACUAUAU
rnacentral:misc_RNA from 1 species